UGUACCUAUGAUAAAAAUUACAGACCUCUACAUGCUUUCUCCAUGUUGUUCAGAAGUCUACUAGUAAAAGAUGGAGCAAUUGUGGGACACCACCACUUGUGAACACCUACUCAACCUCUAAGGUAAAUGGCUUACAGUAACUUGAUAGCAUUGAAGCAUUCACAUUGAAACAAUGGACCUUAUUUUGUUGCAAAUCCCAAAUGGACCCCCAUACCCUAUGCACUUGUGGAGAUCUGAGAUGAUUUGAUGGGUUUAAACAAUAUGAUUAAACCUAGCCUAUCAGAGGGUUAAUUGGAAUAAUGACAAAUUUGCUCACAUAAGUCAAAUCCUCUCAGAUCUCCUAAAGUGCAUAAGGAGUAGGGUCUAGGGCAGGGCUAUUCAACUCUUACCCUACGAGGGUUGGAGCCUGCUGGUUUUCUGCUCUACCUGAUAACUAAUUGUACACACCUUGUUUCCCAGGUCUAAAUCAGUCCCUGAUUAGAGGAAAACAUUUUUUUAAUGUAAUGGAACUGGCUUCGAGGUUCAGAGUUGAGUUUGAGGGGUCUAGGGGGUGAUUUAGGAUUGGGCCAUACUUUUGGAAUCAGAACUUUCAACUGAAGUGUGACAUACAUUAGACGUCUGUUAUGGUUAACAUGUGAUUCAGUUUGCUAAUGGACCAAAAAAGGUAACCCCCAAAAAGUUAAACUGUGAACGACCCGACAAGACAUGGAAAAUGCAACGGCCAGAAUUCUGGAGACCACAGCUGUCUCUCCGCUUUCUAAUGAUGGAUUCCAAAUGAUCGUGCUGAUGAAGCUGGAAACAAUUAUCGAGAACCAGUUGGAACUCCUAGCAAUUCUGCCAGACGAAGUCCUGCCUAGACCUUGAACGACCAAGGAGGAUUUGGAGGACCUCUGCAAGAGUCUGGAGGAGGCCACCACAUAACGGAAAGAGAUGGUUGCAGAGAGGGUUGAAGAGGAGGUUGUGGAGGAGUGAGCCCUUGACUCCCCUGUACCAUAGACGGUGGUCAGACAAGACAAUUGUGUAAUCCGUGUGUGUGUGCCAAUCAGAUUGCAGAUGUCUGAAUUGUUAGCAAAAAUUAUAAAUGUGUUAACUGUUAAUAUAUUUUAUUUUGUAAGAUUUUAUGACUUUUUUUCAAACAAUACAAAACAUGCACAUACCAACGACAGCAUA